AUCCAGCUGACGAGUUCCAAAUAGGAUGAAACGCUAGUUCUGGAU
rnacentral:hammerhead_ribozyme from 1 species